rnacentral:tRNA from 1 species
AGUCUCGUAGCUCAGUGGUAAGAGCACUACACUGAUAAUGUAGUUGUCCGUGGUUCGACUCCACGCGGGACUA